ensembl:lncRNA
GUGCGCCUUCCUUUAAGCACCUCUGUUCGAACGCCUAUCCUGUCCUUAAUCCAUACCACAUACAGCCAUUUGCGGAUCUUUUCAGUGUCCAUGUGAAAGAUAGUUAUUGCGAGGAUGGAACAUUUGUUGACAAAAAAAUAAAUAAAUUGUUAACACCCAUGUAAAAUGAAGCUUACAGAUUUAAGUCUAAUAGCAUGAGAUGAAAGUAGACAAACAUCAGAGUGUGCGAUAUUAAGGUAUAGUCAGUGGACAUUCUGAACCUUGUUUGAGGUCAGUAGGUCACAUGACCAAGGAGCUAUUGAAAUUCUACAUUUUGAAGAAUUCAUGUAAAACCAUGUGAGAUGAAAAUUGACAAACUAAAGGGUGUGCAAUGUGCAGGGCCACUGAGUGGACAUUCUGAACCUUGUUUGAAGUCACUAGGUCACAUGACCAAGGAGCUAUUGAAAUUCUACAUUUUGGAAAAAUUCAUGUAAAACCAUAUGAGAUGAAAAUGGACAAACUAAAGGGCGUGCAAUAUAGAAGGGUAGUCAGUGGACAUUCUGAAUGUAAAAUGUAAAAAAAAGUUUGUACUUUGUUUACGCUCCCUAACUAAUUCAAUUUAGGAAUACAAAAUGUUGCUCACAUUUCCACGUUUAUUAGCUUUGGAAAGCGAAUUAAUGUCCAAAUCGUGAAAAUAAAACCUGUGCAAUGUUGUGCACAUUUUUUUUUCAACAUCAUGACACUUAUUUGGAGUCUGUGGCUCAAGUGGUUUGAAAGCGCGAAUAUCCUAUUUGUCUUUACCUCGGUUGUCAUUGGAUCCUGAGGACAAACAUCCUUCUGCAUCAAGGUCCUUUCUCAUGUUCAGACAGACUAUAUCCCACUACCUAAACUUGCGGUCAGCCUACAGCUAAUUCAUCCCUGCAACAGACUGAGCUGACCACCAUGCACUCUGAGGAUGGAUCUACGGUCGACGACAUCUUCUACUCCAAGGCUGGGCAAUUCUGGUGGAGGUCAACGGCAGAGCGGAGGUUUGAAGCUGCUUGGUCGUCUCUCCCCCCAAUUAGAGGAGGAUCUCUGGUCAAUGAAAGGUUUACCCAAUUAAUUGUUCCCUUCGGACCAUCUCAGUCUCCUGGCCAGGUUCCAGCUGGACUGAAACCCUGUGUAAUUUGGGCUGUUUGUGAUCAAUUAAUAAUCAGGAGGACCGAGGUCAAGUAUUUAAAAAUGUUUGUUCAAACUGUACAUGAUUUUCCCAUGGUGUGAUUCCAUGUUUUAUAAGUUCAUAAUUGUACUUAAUUGGUUCCUUGGGCUCACAUGGUUGUUUCCUACCUGAAGAGAAACUACUCAUCCCAAGGUCCAGAGGGGAUGGGAUGUCCUCUGAAGAAUUGUUUUUGUUUACAUGAAGAGAGAGCAAAACAAACCAAAAAGGUUGAAUUUAGUUCAAAGUUGGAAUUUAUUUGACAAAUUCUCUUACUGUUGAGAUUUGAAUGCAUGAAGCUUUUAGAUUUUAAAAGUUAAUAUUUUGUGAACAAACUGAGUAAACAAUCUGCUACACUAGUAAAUUAGAACAUUUAAAUCUUUACAAACUGUGUUUGAUGCGUUUUGUCCCUCUGGCUUUGGGCCAGUCGUAGUAUUAUUUUUCAAAUGAUAGAAAUAUUGAAUUCAUAUUUUCCAUAUACCAAUAUCAGUUUGGCAGUAUUUUGGGAAGAUCUACAUCCUGUCUUGCCUGGCUGAGAUGGUGUUAAUCCGUGACAAGGACUGACGAGUUGUGCGUUCCGAGAUGCUGUUCUGCACACCACUUAUGUACUGCGCCAUUAUUUGCCUGUUUGUGGCCCACCUGUUAGCUUGCACAAUUCUUGCCAUUCUCCAAUUUUUUUGUUGGUCGCACCAUUCUCGGUAAACCCUAGACAAUGUCGUGCAUGAAAACCCCAGGAGGCUAGCCGUUUCUGAGAUACUGGAACAGAUGCGCCUGGCACCGACGAGCAUACCACGCUCAAAGUCGCUGAGGUCACUUGUUUUGCCCAUCCUAACGUUCAGUAGAACAGUAACUGAAUGCCUCAAUGCCUGUCUGCUUUUUUAUAGCAGGCCACGUGACUCACUGUCUGUAGGCGCAAACCAUUUUUGUGUACCUAAUAAACUGGCCACAGUGUAUAUUUCCACACUAUGAGGUUGGAAUAAUACUGUGAAAAUGAUAAUGCCCUUUUAGUGUAAGAGCUGAAAUGUCAGCCUGUUUAGAUGGGAUGGAGUUUCGGCCUGCCUGGUGACAUCACCAUGCUGUAAAUUAGAUAAUACAUAGACCAU